rnacentral:tRNA from 1 species
UCCUCUUUAGCUCAGUCGGUAGAGCGACGGACUGUUAAUCCGCAGGUCGUUGGUUCAAGUCCAACAAGGGGAGCCA